ACAGUGGAUUUUUUCUCUCAUAGGCCUAGUUCACACACCACAUUAAACCAUAGUUAAAAUAAACUAUGGUUUAAUGUGGUGUGUGAACUAGGCCUAUGAGAGAAAAAAUCCACUG
rnacentral:miRNA from 1 species